rnacentral:rRNA from 1 species
GUGGCGAACGGGUGAGUAACACGUGAGCAAUCUGCCCUUGACUCUGGGAUAACUGCGGGAAACUGUAGCUAAUACCGGAUACUUUCCUCGCUGGGCAUCCAGCGGGGAAGAAAGAAUUUCGGUCAAGGAUGAGCUCGCGGCCUAUCAGCUAGUUGGUGAGGUAAUGGCUCACCAAGGCGACGACGGGUAGCCGGCCUGAAAGGGUGACCGGCCACACUGGAACUGAGACACGGUCCAGACUCCUACGGGAGGCAGUAGUGGGGAAUAUUGCACAAUGGGCGAAAGCCUGAUGCAGCAACGCCGCGUGAGGGAUGAAGGCCUUCGGGUUGUAAACCUCUUUUAGCAGGGAAGAAGCGAAAGUGACGGUACCUGCAGAAAAAGCACCGGCUAACUACGUGCCAGCAGCCGCGGUAAUACGUAGGGUGCAAGCGUUGUCCGGAAUUAUUGGGCGUAAAGAGCUCGUAGGCGGUUUGUCACGUCUGCUGUGAAAAUCCGAGGCUCAACCUCGGACUUGCAGUGGGUACGGGCAGGCUAGAGUGCGGUAGGGGAGAAGGGAAUUCCUGGUGUAGCGGUGGAAUGCGCAGAUAUCAGGAGGAACACCAAUGGCGAAGGCACUUCUCUGGGCCGUAACUGACGCUGAGGAGCGAAAGCGUGGGGAGCGAACAGGAUUAGAUACCCUGGUAGUCCAC